UGGAUGGACCCGUCCUCCAGUGCCUACUGAGCUGAUAUCAGUUCUGAUUUUACAUACUGGCUCAGUUCAGCAGGAACAGGAGUCGAGCCCCA
rnacentral:pre_miRNA from 1 species